GCAUACUUCAAACUUUUAGCGGCUUUUCUCAUCUUUGCCCUAGCCUUCACUCCUCACUCUCUUCAGCAUCGAUUGAAUCAAGACCCAAGAGGACGACUUCAAGCCUUCAACCAUUUAUUUCAAUCGCAGAAGAUGACUUCAGGAUUCAACCAUUGAUGCGGGUGGUGUUCUUCUACACUUCUCUUCUUCGAUUUCCAGUGGAAGAGGACAGCUUCAACCAAGAGGACAACUUCAAUCGCAGAGGAUGGUGUUUCACAUACGACGACUUCAGCCUUCAACAUCGAUUCGAUUGUUAAGGUUUAUUCUACAACAGUCGAGAAAUUAGGAACUGUUGGGCUUGAUGCUGAUAAAGCAAUGGACAUGGCUCACAUAAGUGAGCAGAUAGAACAAAUGCCUAAAUUGCUUGAAACACCAGAACAGGAGAAGACAGGAAAGAAUGCCAAGUUCAACUUACCUUUUUCACUAGUGAUGGUGUUCUCGAUGCAGAAGAGCUAUCAACUAUGAUUGAAGGAGGUGAGAAGAGUGUAAAAUAUCAGUUACCAAGGUCCAGGAAUCGAAGAGGAAGUAUACAGAUCAGUUGAAUCAAUCUCAACAUUAAAGAGCGAUAACUUGACACUUGAGUGUCUUGAGACUGAACUAUUUGAAGACAUUAGAGCUUCAAUCCAGAAAUCUAAUAGAGCAUCUAACCUGAUGAUUGAAGUAUCAAGGUGUCCUCAGGAAAGAAAGAUUCUCAAGCAAAAGUUAGCAACUGUGAGUUACCCUUUUAUAUUUCCAUUUCCAGUUUAGUAUAAAAAUUUUAAUCGACCAACCCGACAUACACGGUUUGGGUUGGGUUGCACUUUUGGUUUGGUUGGGUUGGGUUGGGUUGAGAUAUUUCAAACUGCAAAGAUUGGAUUAAGUUGUUGAAUUGCCUUCAACCCUGCCAACCCAACCCGUGAACACCCCUAUAUUCAACUGUAUAUCGUUGCGAGAUUUCCCCAAGUAGUGUUUAUAUAUGCAAACCACCAUUGAAUUACAUUACCACAUACAACAACAGAGAAAACCAAUGUGUCCCAUCAGAAAACCACCAAACACAAUACUUAGAGGAUAAUAUUUCUACCUGUAAA